rnacentral:rRNA from 1 species
GACAGAGGGUGCAAACGUUGUUCGGAAUUACUGGGCGUAAAGCGCGUGUAGGCUGCUUGGCAAGUCGGAUGUGAAAGCCCUGGGCUCAACCCAGGAAGUGCACUCGAAACUGUCAGGCUUGAAUAUGGAAGAGGGUCGCGGAAUUCCCGGUGUAGAGGUGAAAUUCGUAGAUAUCGGGAGGAACACCGGUGGCGAAGGCGGCUUCCUGGACCGAUUACUGACGCUGAGGCGCGAAAGCUAGGGGAGCAAACGGG